rnacentral:rRNA from 1 species
CCGCACGGGUGAGUAACACGUAUGCAAUCCACCUGUAACAGGGGGAUAACCCGGAGAAAUCCGGACUAAUACCCCAUAAUAUGGGCGCUCCGCAUGGAGAGCCCAUUAAAGAGAGCAAUUUUGGUUACAGACGAGCAUGCGCUCCAUUAGCCAGUUGGCGGGGUAACGGCCCACCAAAGCGACGAUGGAUAGGGGUUCUGAGAGGAAGGUCCCCCACAUUGGUACUGAGACACGGCCAA